UACAGAGGGUGCAAGCGUUAAUCGGAAUGACUGGGCGUAAAGGGUGCGUAGGUGGUUAAUUAAGUUUCAUGUGAAAGCCCCGGGCUCAACCUGGGAAUGGCAUGGAAAACUGAAUAGCUUGAGUAGAGGAGAGGUGAGUGGAAUUUCCGGUGUAGCAGUGAAAUGCGUAGAGAUCGGGAGGAACAUCAGUGGCGAAGGCGACUCACUGGACUCAUACUGACACUGAAGCACGAAAGCGUGGGGAGCAAACAGG
rnacentral:rRNA from 1 species